GACGAACGCUGGCGGCGUGCUUAACACAUGCAAGUCGAACGGAAAGGCCCUGCUUUUGUGGGGUGCUCGAGUGGCGAACGGGUGAGUAACACGUGAGUAACCUGCCCUUUACUUUGGGAUAACUUCAGGAAACUGGGGCUAAUACCGGAUAUGAGCUCCUGCUGCAUGGUGGGGGUUGGAAAGUUUCGGCGGUUGGGGAUGGACUCGCGGCUUAUCAGCUUGUUGGUGGGGUAGUGGAUUACCAAGGCUUUGACGGGUAGCCGGCCUGAGAGGGUGACCGGCCCCAUUGGGACUGAGGUACGGGCCAGACGCCUACGGGAGGCAGCAGUGGGGAAUAUUGCACAAUGGGCGGAAGCAUGAUGCAGCAACGCCGCGUGCGGGAUGACGGCCUUCGGGUUGUAAACCGCUUUAGCCUGUGACGAAGCGUGAGUGACGGUAAUGGGUAAAGAAGCACCGGCUAACUACGUG
rnacentral:rRNA from 1 species